CGUUGAGCAGGCGCCGGUCGCUUACCGACGCCUCUCAGUUUUAAACUAUUAAAUAUACUCCUUUUGAUUAUAUAGAAAAUUAAUCUAACGGAGUGUUACCUACGUCAUCCAAUUUGUAAAACUUAUUUGAGAGGUUCGGGUUACCAAACUGUAACUGGAGUGUUUUUUUUCUAUAAUUUUAUAUAUACUUUGUAUAUUGCAUUACAAAGUCAUAUAAUAUUUUUCGGUGGACUCAACCGAGGAAUUGAUGCUGAUUUGGAGCUGUUGGAGGCUCUGCUAUUUUAUGGAGGAGGCUGCUUGUCCGGUGGCCUGCUGUUGCUGCUGGUGCUUUUUGCUGCUUCGCACUGCUUUUAUUUAUUUGUUCACUCAUUGUGACAAUGCGUUCAGUGUUUGCACUAUCCUGCUUAUCUAUUUAAAUCUAUUACUUAAUUUUAACCGAUGCCAACUCACUUACAGCUAACUUACUUAUAAUAUUUUAUUGUAUUAAUGUUAACUUAAUCGCCG